rnacentral:lncRNA from 1 species
ACGGGUUGACUAGACAAUUUUUCUUCUUUCCUCUUAUUGAAUACAGUGGCUAGUUGAUCAAUUUGGGUUUCUAGCUUAGCUAUGGAUUGAGUGUGGGAGUGGAGGAUCUAGGUGUUGACUUCUAAUCGUUCUAGCACUUUCAAGACCUUCUUCUUAAAAGCUAAAUUAUGUGCAUUGGUAGAAGGUUGAGGACAUUCUGAGGGUACUGAGGGUAGGAUGUGUCUCGAUACUGAGUCUCAGGAUAGUUGGAUUUGUGGGUAGCCAAGUUAACCAUAGGUUGUGGUUUUCAAGAGAAGUUUGGAUGAUUUCUCUAACCA